GACGAACGCUGGCGGCGUGCUUAACACAUGCAAGUCGAACGGUAAGGCCCUGCUUUUGUGGGGUGCUCGAGUGGCGAACGGGUGAGUAACACGUGAGUAACCUGCCCUUGACUUUGGGAUAACUUCAGGAAACUGGGGCUAAUACCGGAUAGGAGCUCCUGCUGCAUGGUGGGGGUUGGAAAGUUUCGGCGGUUGGGGAUGGACUCGCGGCUUAUCAGCUUGUUGGUGGGGUAGUGGCUUACCAAGGCUUUGACGGGUAGCCGGCCUGAGAGGGUGACCGGCAACAUUAGGACUGAGAUACGGCCCAGACUCCUACGGGAGGCAGCAGUGGGGAAUAGUGCACAAUGGGCGGAAGCCUGAUGCAGCAACGCCGCGUGCGGGAUGACGGCCAUCGGGUUGUAAACCGCUUUCGCGUGUGACGAAGCGUGAGUGACGGUAAUGGGUAAAGAAGCACCGGCUAAAUACGUG
rnacentral:rRNA from 1 species